AAACAUAGCCUUUAGCAAACCUAGUAUUAGAGGUGACGCCUGCCCAGUGAAAUUUAAACGGCCGCGGUAUCCUAACCGUGCAAAGGUAGCGUAAUCACUUGUCUUAUAAAUAAAGACCUGUAUGAACGGCUAAAUGAGUAUUUAACUGUCUCCUUUAACUUAUCAGUGAAACUGAUCUUUCAGUACAAAAGCUGAAAUAAGUAUAUAAGACGAGAAGACCCUGUGGAGCUUUUAAAUUUUUAUCAGGGUAGCAUUUACAGCCUAUAUUUAUGAUUAGAAGUUUUUAAGUUUGGGGCGACUUUUGGAGUAAAACAGAACCUCCAAGAACAAGGUAUUACCUAAACCCCGGGCUCACCGGCCUAAUAAGUAGACCCAGUACUACUGAUCAACGAACCAAGUUACCCCAGGGAUAACAGCGCCAUCUUCUUCAAGAGUCCAUAUCGACAAGAAGGUUUACGACCUCGAUGUUGGAUCAGGACACCCAAAUGGUGCAGCCGCUAUUAAAGGUUCGUUUGUUCAACGAUUAACAGUCCUACGUG
rnacentral:rRNA from 1 species